CAGACGCAGGCUCUCACUGACAAGUUGGUGGGGGUGAGGUUUCUUGCAUUAGUACAUUGACGCGUACAUGUUUUUCUGUUGGCUACAUACAGGAGUUCUCUAAACGAUGCUGUUUUCCUGCAUAGUUUUCAAUCCAGUCUGCAUUGAAACCUGUCAUUCCCAACAAUGUCAUCAUUUCGCUGACUGUCCGUGGACUUGGAGCUUUGCUAAAACCUUCCAGUUGAGAAGAGGUCCUUUUGUCUCUCCCCGGGCGGGGGAGAGAGGGAGAGGAGGGGCAACGCUCCGGGAGGAGGGAGUGAAAAGCGUUGUGUGUGUGGCUCUCCUUGCCUGCGUAGAGCUGUAUGUGUGGUUCCUCUGCCUGAGGAGAACUUAGUGUGUGUGUGCAAGAUUUUCCUUCGGGCGGGGGAGAGAGCUACUUGGCAGUCUUUAACUAACAGGCUAAAAAUAACUCAGCCUGCCAGUGGUUCUGCCCCACUGACAGGCAAAAAAGGCAGACGGAGCCGUCUCCUUCCCCAAACAAAAAAGUCUUUCAAAUACAAAGUUUAAAUACCUGCACCCACAUCUUAACAACAUAACAGCUUCAAAAAGUAUACACACCUUGGUCCACCAAGAUUUCCUUACAACAUUAAAAGUUUCCAAGCACUUUUUAGCUCAUCAACCUAGACAACUUUACCUCUAACAAUGGGACUUGAAUACAAAAAAACAAACAAAAAAAACAAAACAAAAGCAACCAUGCAGUUUCAUUCAUCCAUGGGGUUUAGUCAUCCAAUAAAGCUCUCAUCAUUUAUAAUCACACGUAGACGUCAACAACAAUCACACAUUCUUAAUCAUCACCUUUCAACAUUCCCACAUUCUCACGUUUUCCUUUCACUCUCACUCUCCCGGGAAACUUAUUGUUUUUCUUAAAGGUCCAAAUGUUCAAUGUUCCUGGAUUUUAACUGUGCGCACAGAAAAUUUAAAUCAGGUUUUUAUGGGACCCAGAGCAAAAAAAAAAAAAAAAAAAGUUAAAAAUAAACAUUUAUACUUCACGUGCACCAGCAAGGCCUCUUUGCUUCAAAUUUGAUAGGAGGCUUUAACCUCGUUUGCCUAAACCUGGAGUACUCAACCAAAAACAGACUGCAGUCAACUCUGUUAAGGCCACAUUUUCAUCGGAGUUCCACGCAUGGAAUGAUCCGAGAACUGCCUUAUUCUUCUUCAAGCGCUUACAUUAACAGGGCCGCGCCCUAAAGACUCCGACCAACCGAACAUUUAUAAGAUCAAUUCUUUCAGAAUGAUCUCUUUGAUUCUAAAAAGUUAUGUAUAUUAGAAAAACUUCAGCAAAGACCCGUACUGGUCCGAUUCAUUUCUUAUACGCCGUCGCUUCUAACGUCAUAUUUGACGGGACAUCCGAUAAAAGCGGCUGGGAGUAACCAAUCACUUCUUUAAGUUGUCAUGUGUGCCCAACUGUGGAGGAAGCCAAUAUCAUUCCAAAUCUUUUGAUGUUUAAGACAACUUAUUUUUCUACGUAGAAAAAUACCAAAUAGAUGUCAAGCCAAAGGAACGACCACUCCCGUCUGUCAAUCAAUCACAAACAACGCUCUUCCCAAGUCAAAUUACACAGGCGGCAGAUUCAUCGCUAACAAGCAGAGAGAGCAGAAGACAGAGCAGUAAAAAAUGUAUUUUCACUCACCUCUGUCCUCUCUCCUCCACCCCAGCGCGGAAGGGCCAGUUCCGUGCGGGGGAACCCAAGCCGUCUGUCCGGGAAGGCAAAACUCCCUUUUUUUCCUAUCACGUCGGGGUCACCAAUUUUGUGGGAGAAUUACUUAAUUAUUAACCUUUUAAAAAGAAAGAAAGACUCAGAGAAAAUGGCGUUCCUUUGUCUUAACAACGAGAAUUCGUCUUUAUUAUGCCUAGAAACGUACAAACGGGUUUCAGGAGCGAAUUCUGACAUUCAAAUACAAUGGUCGUCAUUUUAAAGGAUCAUAAUGUGUGUGCGUUAAACACAAGUGUCUGUGUGUCUCCAUUGGUGUGUGUGCGCUACACGCUAUUGACGUCAAUUGGCAACAGGGCUUAAAUUCUGGGAAGUGUUUAUCACAAAAAGUACAACAACAGAGCGAUUAGUUCCACUACUUGACAUAUCUUGGAACAGUCCUAGUAAAUAACCGAUUCCAGAUGUUUCCUCUUGCUCCCAUCGGCGAGAGCCAGGGAAAAAGGUCAAAAUGACCCUAAC